UGGGGAAUUUUGGACAAUGGGCGCAAGCCUGAUCCAGCAAUGCCGCGUGCAGGAUGAAGGCCUUCGGGUUGUAAACUGCUUUUGUACGGAACGAAAAGGCUCUGGUUAAUACCUGGGGCUCAUGACGGUACCGUAAGAAUAAGCACCGGCUAACUACGUGCCAGCAGCCGCGGUAAUACGUAGGGUGCAAGCGUUAAUCGGAAUUACUGGGCGUAAAGCGCGCGUAGGUGGUUAGUUAAGUUGGAUGUGAAAUCCCCGGGCUCAACCUGAGAACUGCAUUCAAAACUGACUGACUAGAGUACGGUAGAGGGGGAUGGAAUUCCGCGUGUAGCAGUGAAAUGCGUAGAUAUGCGGAGGAACACCGAUGGCGUAGGCAAUCCCCUGGACCUGUACUGACGCUCAUGCACGAAAGCGUGGGGAGCAAACA
rnacentral:rRNA from 1 species